rnacentral:rRNA from 1 species
GACGAACGCUGGCGGCGUGCUUAACACAUGCAAGUCGAACGGAAAGGCCCUGCUUUUGUGGGGUGCUCGAGUGGCGAACGGGUGAGUAACACGUGAGUAACCUGCCCUUGACUUUGGGGUAACUUCAGGAAACUGGGGCUAAUACCGGAUAGGAUCUCCCGCUGCAUGGUGGGGGUUGGAAAGUUUCGGCGGGUGGGGAUGGACUCGCGGCUUAUCAGCUUGUUGGUGGGGUAGUGGCUUACCAAGGCUUUGACGGGUAGCCGGCCUGAGAGGGUGACCGGCCACAUUGGGACUGAGAUACGGCCCAGACUCCUACGGGAGGCAGCAGUGGGGAAUAUUGCACAAUGGGCGGAAGCCUGAUGCAGCAACGCCGCGUGCGGGAUGACGGCCUUCGGGUUGUAAACCGCUUUCGCCUGUGACGAAGCGUGAGUGACGGUAAUGGGUAAAGAAGCACCGGCUAACUACGUG